GGGGGUUGUUGAAUGACUUGUUUUAUUAGGUGCUACUUCGAGUUUAGUGGUAGACCCUUUUUUAUGGGAUAAAAUUAAAUCAAAGACAUUAACCGGUGAUAUUGGACCUCGGAUCUAAAGAGGUUAUGAUCGUCAUACUCAGAAAGUCUUUUUUUUUUUCAUUUGAAAAAAAAAAAAACCUCUUGAUUUGUAAUUGAUGUUUGGAAGUCACUUGUGAAUAAUACCUUUCAAAGACAACCUAAGUCUUGCUGAGAAGGCAGGCCCUUUUUUUUUUUUUUUUUUAGACAAUUUAAGUUGAUUGAUAAGGAAGGGGUUACAACCUAAUUCCUGAAGCAGGAAAUUAACAUGGGUUAAAGAAAGCCCCAUCUUUAUUCCACCCCGGCCCAGCAGUAGUACGUAAAACCAGAUCCAACACAACCCAAGUCCUAGGACCUGAACAACCCACCUAUGAGCAGCCAAACCGACAAAGAAGCAAAGUAGCUCGCCGAAACCUGGGCUCUAGUACCAGGCAACGACCAAAGAUGCAAAUCGUCGCACUCAGUAGAAGUGAGAAGAAGCUUCCAUCAAAGGUAGAAAUUCGUGAACAACAUCAAAGCCUUUUCCCCACAAGAAAGGAACAUCUCGAGCCAAGAUAGGGCCGAAAGACAAGUUCAUCCGGGUGACAGGUAGAACUCCGUAAGUCUUUCUAUUUUGAUCAUUUGAGGAAUUGAAAGCUUUAAGUAAGCGUUGGUCACGUCUCCCGGAGAUAGCAUGCUCAUAAAUUGAACCCUGAAAAAAUAGAUCAACAAAUCCAUAGGCUAGGAACCCCCACCUCACCAGUCAUCACCCUUCGUAGCCAUAAAGCUUUAGGUAGGAGUGAAGAACAGACAUGUGAAUGAAGAACAACCUGCAAAUCA
rnacentral:misc_RNA from 1 species